UGGAGAGUUUGAUCCUGGCUCAGAUUGAACGCUGGCGGCAGGCCUAACACACGCAAGUCGAGCGGCAGCGGGAAAGUAGCUUGCUACUUUUGCCGGCGAGCGGCGGACGGGUGAGUAAUGCCUGGGGAUCUGCCCAGUCGAGGGGGAUAACUACUGGAAACGGUAGCUAAUACCGCAUACGCCCUACGGGGGAAAGCAGGGGACCUUCGGGCCUUGCGCGAUUGGAUGAACCCAGGUGGGAUUAGCUAGUUGGUGAGGUAAUGGCUCACCAAGGCGACGAUCCCUAGCUGGUCUGAGAGGAUGAUCAGCCACACUGGAACUGAGACACGGUCCAGACUCCUACGGGAGGCAGCAGUGGGGAAUAUUGCACAAUGGGGGAAACCCUGAUGCAGCCAUGCCGCGUGUGUGAAGAAGGCCUUCGGGUUGUAAAGCACUUUCAGCGAGGAGGAAAGGUUGGUAGCUAAUAACUGCCAGCUGUGACGGUACUCGCAGAAGAAGCACCGGCUAACAGUCCGUGCCAGCAGCCGCGGUA
rnacentral:rRNA from 1 species